AAAGAUCAGAGAGAAAAGCUUGAAUGAAGAAGAUAACUUUAACUUUACUUUUGUUAUUCAACUUGAUCCAACGUUACAUCAUCGUUUCCUAUUUAUAUACAAGAUAGAUCUUAUCCUCUUAGUUUGUCAGCAUGUGACAGCACAUGAGGUAAGGCAUUCAAAUCUGUUGGAUGUACCGAUGAUGUGAGCUGGAGCCGUCGUACAUCGAGAGCUCCUUUGAACGUUGAAUGUUGACGACUUUACCGUUGGUGCUAAAGUAAUGGGCUUCACCUUUGCUUCUUCAUGCUGGGCUAUC
rnacentral:lncRNA from 1 species